GACCUGAUGGUGAAUGGUUCACACCACUUUGUUUGAGCCUAGAGCUUGGAAUCUGUUGAACAGUGGGAGUCCCCGGUUCGACUCCGGGUCAGGUCG